GACGAACGCUGGCGGCGUGCUUAACACAUGCAAGUCGAACGGUGAAGCGAGUGCUUGCACUCGUGGAUCAGUGGCGAACGGGUGAGUAACACGUGAGUAACCUGCCCAUCACUCUGGGAUAAGCACUGGAAACGGUGUCUAAUACUGGAUACGACCAACCCUUGCAUGGGGUGUUGGUGGAAAGAUUUAUCGGUGAUGGAUGGACUCGCGGCCUAUCAGCUUGUUGGCGGGGUAAUGGCCCACCAAGGCGACGACGGGUAGCCGGCCUGAGAGGGUGACCGGCCACACUGGGACUGAGACACGGCCCAGACUCCUACGGGAGGCAGCAGUGGGGAAUAUUGCACAAUGGGCGAAAGCCUGAUGCAGCGACGCCGCGUGAGGGAGGACGGCCUUCGGGUGGUAAACCUCUUUCAGCAGGGAAGAAGCGAAAGUGACGGUACCUGCAGAAGAAGCACCGGCUAACUACGU
rnacentral:rRNA from 1 species